GAUGAAGAACGCAGCGAAAUGCGAUAAGUAAUGUGAAUUGCAGAAUUCAGUGAAUCAUCGAAUCUUUGAACGCUCAUUGCGCCCCCUGGUAUUCCGGGGGGCAUGCCUGUCCGAGCGUCAUUACAACCCUCAAGCUCAGCUUGGUGUUGGGCCCCGCCGCCCCGGCGGGCCCUAAAGUCAGUGGCGGUGCCGUCCGGCUCCGAGCGUAGUAAUUCUUCUCGCUCUGGAGGUCCGGUCGUGUGCUCGCCAGCAACCCCCAAUUUUUUUCAGGUUGACCUCGGAUCAGGUAGGGAUACCCGCUGAACUUAAGCAUAUCAAUAAGCGGAGGA
rnacentral:misc_RNA from 1 species